AAAUUGAAGAGUUUGAUCAUGGCUCAGAUUGAACGCUGGCGGCAGGCCUAACACAUGCAAGUCGAACGGUAACAGGAAGCAGCUUGCUGCUUUGCUGACGAGUGGCGGACGGGUGAGUAAUGUCUGGGAAACUGCCUGAUGGAGGGGGAUAACUACUGGAAACGGUGGCUAAUACCGCAUAACGUCGCAAGACCAAAGAGGGGGACCUUCGGGCCUCUUGCCAUCAGAUGUGCCCAGAUGGGAUUAGCUUGUUGGUGAGGUAACGGCUCACCAAGGCGACGAUCCCUAGCUGGUCUGAGAGGAUGACCAGCCACACUGGAACUGAGACACGGUCCAGACUCCUACGGGAGGCAGCAGUGGGGAAUAUUGCACAAUGGGCGCAAGCCUGAUGCAGCCAUGCCGCGUGUAUGAAGAAGGCCUUCGGGUUGUAAAGUACUUUCAGCGGGGAGGAAGGUGUUGUGGUUAAUAACCGCAGCAAUUGACGUUACCCGCAGAAGAAGCACCGGCUAACUCCGUGCCAGCAGCCGCGGUAAUACGGAGGGUGCAAGCGUUAAUCGGAAUUACUGGGCGUAAAGCGCACGCAGGCGGUCUGUCAAGUCGGAUGUGAAAUCCCCGGGCUCAACCUGGGAACUGCAUUCGAAACUGGCAGGCUUGAGUCUUGUAGAGGGGGGUAGAAUUCCAGGUGUAGCGGUGAAAUGCGUAGAGAUCUGGAGGAAUACCGGUGGCGAAGGCGGCCCCCUGGACAAAGACUGACGCUCAGGUGCGAAAGCGUGGGGAGCAAACAGGAUUAGAUACCCUGGUAGUCCACGCCGUAAACGAUGUCUACUUGGAGGUUGUGCCCUUGAGGCGUGGCUUCCGGAGCUAACGCGUUAAGUAGACCGCCUGGGGAGUACGGCCGCAAGGUUAAAACUCAAAUGAAUUGACGGGGGCCCGCACAAGCGGUGGAGCAUGUGGUUUAAUUCGAUGCAACGCGAAGAACCUUACCUGGUCUUGACAUCCACAGAAGAAUCCAGAGAUGGAUUUGUGCCUUCGGGAACUGUGAGACA
rnacentral:rRNA from 1 species